CUCCUACGGGAGGCAGCAGUGAGGAAUAUUGGUCAAUGGGCGCGAGCCUGAACCAGCCAAGUAGCGUGAAGGAUGAAGGUCCUACGGAUUGUAAACUUCUUUUAUAAGGGAAUAAAGUCGCCUACGUGUAGGCGUUUGUAUGUACCUUAUGAAUAAGCAUCGGCUAACUCCGUGCCAGCAGCCGCGGUAAUACGGAGGAUGCGAGCGUUAUCCGGAUUUAUUGGGUUUAAAGGGAGCGUAGACGGAGGAUUAAGUCAGUUGUGAAAGUUUGCGGCUCAACCGUAAAAUUGCAGUUGAUACUGGUUCCCUUGAGUGCAGUUGAGGCAGGCGGAAUUCGUGGUGUAGCGGUGAAAUGCAUAGAUAUCACGAAGAACCCCGAUUGCGAAGGCAGCCUGCUAAGCUGUAACUGACGUUGAGGCUCGAAAGUGUGGGUAUCAAACAGGAUUAGAUACCCUGGUAGUCCACACGGUAAACGAUGGAUACUCGCUGUUGGCGAUAUACUGUCAGCGGCCAAGCGAAAGCAUUAAGUAUCCCACCUGGGGAGUACGCCGGCAACGGUGAAACUCAAAGGAAUUGACGGGGGCCCGCACAAGCGGAGGAACAUGUGGUUUAAUUCGAUGAUACGCGAGGAACCUUACCCGGGCUUAAAUUGCAGACGAAUUACUUGGAAACAGGUAAGCCGCAAGGCGUCUGUGAAGGUGCUGCGUGGUUGUCGUCAGCUCGUGCCGUGAGGUGUCGGCUUAAGUGCCAUAACGAGCGCAACCCUCGUGGUCAGUUACUAACAGGUCAAGCUGAGGACUCUGGCCAGACUGCCAUCGUAAGAUGCGAGGAAGGUGGGGAUGACGUCAAAUCAGCCCGGCCCUUACGUCCGGGGCUACACACGUGUUACAAUGGGAGGUACAGAAGGCAGCUACCCGGCGACGGGAUGCCAAUCUCCAAAACCUCUCUCAGUUCGGACUGGAGUCUGCAACCCGACUCCACGAAGCUGGAUUCGCUAGUAAUCGCGCAUCAGCCACGGCGCGGUGAAUACGUUCCCGGGCCUUGUACACACCGC
rnacentral:rRNA from 1 species